rfam:Ipomoea nil DNA, scaffold: scaffold3162, cultivar: Tokyo-kokei standard.
GGAUCCGUGGUGCAAUGGUAGUGCGUCGAACUCCAGAUCAGAAGGUUGCGUGUUCGAUUCACGUCGGGUUCA